UACGGGGGGUGCAAGCGUUGUUCGGAUUUACUGGGCGUAAAGGGCGGGUAGGCGGCCACCGCAAGUCGACUGUGAAAUCUCCGGGCUUAACCCGGAAAGGUCAGCCGAUACUGCGGGGCUAGAGUGCAGAAGGGGCAACUGGAAUUCUCGGUGUAGCGGUGAAAUGCGUAGAUAUCGAGAGGAACACCUGCGGCGAAGGCGGGUUGCUGGGCUGACACUGACGCUGAACUGCGAAAGCUAGGGGAGCGAACGGG
rnacentral:rRNA from 1 species